AUUACUGGGCGUAAGCGCGCGCAGGCGGUUUGGUAAUCGAGAUGUGAAAUCCCCGCGGUCUCAACCUGGGAACUGCAUUUGAUAACUGCCAGGCUAGAGUACGGUAGAGGGGGGUAGAAUUCCA
rnacentral:rRNA from 1 species